CGAACGCGUUGGCCCAAUUGAUUGAUGGUGCUUGCACCUGAUUGAUUUUGGUCGCCAACGAGUGGCGGACGGGUGAGUAACACGUAGGUAACCUGCCCAGAAGCGGGGGACAACAUUUGGAAACAGAUGCUAAUACCGCAUAACAGCGUUGUUCGCAUGAACAACGCUUAAAAGAUGGCUUCUCGCUAUCACUUCUGGAUGGACCUGCGGUGCAUUAGCUUGUUGGUGGGGUAACGGCCUACCAAGGCGAUGAUGCAUAGCCGAGUUGAGAGACUGAUCGGCCACAAUGGGACUGAGACACGGCCCAUACUCCUACGGGAGGCAGCAGUAGGGAAUCUUCCACAAUGGGCGCAAGCCUGAUGGAGCAACACCGCGUGAGUGAAGAAGGGUUUCGGCUCGUAAAGCUCUGUUGUUAAAGAAGAACACGUAUGAGAGUAACUGUUCAUACGUUGACGGUAUUUAACCAGAAAGUCACGGCUAACUACGUGCCAGCAGCCGCGGUAAUACGUAGGUGGCAAGCGUUAUCCGGAUUUAUUGGGCGUAAAGAGAGUGCAGGCGGUUUUCUAAGUCUGAUGUGAAAGCCUUCGGCUUAACCGGAGAAGUGCAUCGGAAACUGGAUAACUUGAGUGCAGAAGAGGGUAGUGGAACUCCAUGUGUAGCGGUGGAAUGCGUAGAUAUAUGGAAGAACACCAGUGGCGAAGGCGGCUACCUGGUCUGCAACUGACGCUGAGACUCGAAAGCAUGGGUAGCGAACAGGAUUAGAUACCCUGGUAGUCCAUGCCGUAAACGAUGAGUGCUAGGUGUUGGAGGGUUUCCGCCCUUCAGUGCCGGAGCUAACGCAUUAAGCACUCCGCCUGGGGAGUACGACCGCAAGGUUGAAACUCAAAGGAAUUGACGGGGGCCCGCACAAGCGGUGGAGCAUGUGGUUUAAUUCGAAGCUACGCGAAGAACCUUACCAGGUCUUGACAUCUUGCGCCAACCCUAGAGAUAGGGCGUUUCCUUCGGGAACGCAAUGACAGGUGGUGCAUGGUCGUCGUCAGCUCGUGUCGUGAGAUGUUGGGUUAAGUCCCGCAACGAGCGCAACCCUUGUUACUAGUUGCCAGCAUUAAGUUGGGCACUCUAGUGAGACUGCCGGUGACAAACCGGAGGAAGGUGGGGACGACGUCAGAUCAUCAUGCCCCUUAUGACCUGGGCUACACACGUGCUACAAUGGACGGUACAACGAGUCGCGAACUCGCGAGGGCAAGCAAAUCUCUUAAAACCGUUCUCAGUUCGGACUGCAGGCUGCAACUCGCCUGCACGAAGUCGGAAUCGCUAGUAAUCGCGGAUCAGCAUGCCGCGGUGAAUACGUUCCCGGGCCUUGUACACACCGCCCGUCACACCAUGAGAGUUUGUAACACCCAAAGUCGGUGGGGUAACCUUUUAGGAGCC
rnacentral:rRNA from 1 species